rnacentral:tRNA from 1 species
AAGGAGGUGGCUGAGUGGUUAAGGCAACGGAUUGCUAAUCCGUCUUGUUGAAAGACAAGCAUGGGUUCGAAUCCCAUUCUCCUCU